CUUGAAUAUUCUGUUCUUGCAAGUAUGCAUCUAGUAGCCGUUUGAACAUCUGUAUGGACUCUGCUACUAGAUGCAUACUUGCAAGAACAGAAUAUUCAA